AUCCGAGGGGUGCAAGCGUUAUUCGGAAUUACUGGGCGUAAAGGGUGUGUAGACGGCGUAUUAAGUCUGUUGUUAAAUCCUCCGGCCUAACCGGAGAUCUGCGGUGGAAACUGAUAUGCUAGAGGAUGGAAGAGAGAAGUGGAAUUCCCGGAGUAGCGGUAAAAUGCGUGGAUCUCGGGAGGAACACCAAUGGCGAAGGCAGCUUCUUGGUCCAUUCCUGACGUUGAGACACGAAAGCGUGGGGAGCAAACAGGAUUAGAAACCCCAGUAGUCC
rnacentral:rRNA from 1 species